rnacentral:tRNA from 1 species
GUAGGGGUUAACAUGCCUGCCUGUCACGCAGGAGAUCGCGGGUUCAAAUCCCGUCGGGACCGCCA